AGUUGAGUUGAGUUGAGUUGUAUUAAAUAAUGCGUCUAAACUAUUUGCAACAGAGAUUAGUUAUCAAUAUCACUGAUGGCUCGCUACAAUGAACUUAGCAUGAAACAGGCUACUGCUAUGCUUUGUAGAAAAAAACUAUAACAACUACAACCUUGCAUGAGAGGCAAUUUUAUGUUUUUCUCCAUGAAGAGAUUUACAAGUUAAAUGGAAUGCUAAGAGGUGUCAUUCGCUUUAACUGAUAUUAAUCUUUUGUUUGCCCAGUGGAAUUGACCGAUUUAAGGAACAAUUUGCACAUCUUGAGGAAGGAAA
rnacentral:misc_RNA from 1 species